rfam:Hordeum vulgare subsp. vulgare, WGS project CAJW01000000 data, contig: morex_contig_135441
GACAUACUCCCUCCGUCCCAAAAUUCUUGUCUUAGCUUUGUUUAAAAAUGAAUGUUUCCAAAUACUAAAACUUGACUAGAUACAUUCAUAUCUAAAUAAAUCCAGGACAAGAAUUUUGGGACGGAGGGAGUACCUG